rnacentral:rRNA from 1 species
UCCUACGGGAGGCAGCAGUAGGGGAUCUUCCACAAUGGACGAAAGUCUGAUGGAGCAAUGCCGCGUGAGUGAAGAAGGUUUUCGGAUCGUAAAACUCUGUUGUUGAAGAAGAACAUAUGUGAGAGUAACUGUUCACGUACUGACGGUAUUCAACCAGAAAGCCACGGCUAACUACGUGCCAGCAGCCGCGGUAAUA